UUCUGGUUUCAGUUCUGGUCGAAGCGAAGAACCAGGUUUUCUCACAUUCCGCUCCCGGAGUCACAGAUUCAAAGUGUCUGAAGCGGAACCCAUUUUCCAAUUUCCAGGAUCCUCCUUUGAUUUCUGAUUCAUUUAUUUGCUUUCUUCAUCUUCCUCCGAUUCCUACCGCCGAUUACACCAAUCCAAGAUGCAUUCCAAUCACUUGCUUCUCGAGGAGCCCAUUCGCAUGGCCUCCAUCCUCGAGCCAUCCAAGGCUAGUUUCUUUCCUGCUAUGACGAAGAUCGUUGGGACUCUUGGUCCGAGGUCUCGAUCUGUUGAGAUAAUUUCUGGUUGUCUGAAGGCUGGAAUGUCAGUUGCUCGUUUCGACUUUUCAUGGGGUGACCCGGACUAUCAUCAGGAGACUUUGGAGAAUCUGAAGGCGGCCGUGAAGAUCACUAAGAAGCUUUGCGCUGUUAUGCUGGACACUGUGGGCCCCGAGUUGCAAGUAAUAAAUAAAACUGAGAAGUCCAUUUCACUUCAGGAAGAUGCCAUAGUUAUCCUUACACCCAAUCAAGAACUUGAGGCGACUUCAGAGCUCUUGCCUAUUAACUAUAAUGGACUUUCAAAGGUUGUGAAGAAAGGAGAUACUAUUUUCGUGGGUCAAUACCUUUUCACUGGAAGUGAAACAACUUCUGUCUGGCUAGAGGUUUCCGAAGUCAAAGGUGAUGAUGUUGUUUGUGUAAUUAAGAACUCUGCCACAUUAGCUGGAUCGCUGUUCACUUUGCAUGGCUCUCAAAUUCAUAUUAAUCUUCCUACACUUUCUGAUAAUGAUAAGGAGAUUAUAUCUAGUUGGGGAGUACAAAACAAAAUUGAUUUCCUCUCAUUAUCAUAUACUAGACAUGCAGAGGAUGUCCGACAAGCUCGUGAAUUCCUUUCUAAGUUAGGUGACCUUAGCCAAACACAAAUCUUUGCCAAAAUUGAAACCGUUGAGGGAUUAACCCAUUUUGAUGAGAUCCUACGAGAAGCAGAUGGUAUUAUUCUAUCCCGUGGGAAUUUGGGGAUCGAUCUCCCGCCUGAGAAGGUGUUUUUGUUUCAGAAAGCUGCCCUUUACAAGUGUAACAUGGCUGGAAAGCCUGCUGUGGUGACUCGUGUAGUGGACAGUAUGACCAACAAUUUAAGACCUACUCGUGCUGAAGCUACUGAUGUUGCAAAUGCAGUCCUGGAUGGAAGUGAUGCGAUUCUUCUGGGGGCUGAGACUUUGCGUGGAAUUUAUCCAGUAGAAACUAUUUCUACGGUUGGUAGGAUUUGUGCUGAGUCUGAGAAGGUGUUCAAUCAAGAUUUGUAUUUCAAGAAGACUGUCAAAUUUGUUGGUGAACCUAUGACACACUUGGAAUCCAUUGCUUCUUCAGCGGUUAGGGCUGCCAUUAAGGUGAAGGCGUCAGUUAUUAUUUGCUUUACUUCAUCUGGAAGAGCUGCAAGACUAAUUGCUAAAUAUAGGCCCACAAUGCCAGUUAUAUCUGUUGUCAUUCCUAGGCUGAAGACAAAUCAGUUAAGGUGGAGCUUUACUGGAGCAUUUGAGGCUAGGCAGUCAUUGAUAGUAAGAGGCCUCUUCCCCAUGCUUGCUGAUCCACGACAUCCUGCGGAGUCUACUAGCGCAACAAAUGAGUCAGUUCUAAAGGUUGCUCUUGAUCAUGGCAAAGCAUCUGGAGUUAUCAAGUCACAUGACCGAGUUGUCGUUUGUCAAAAGGUUGGGGAUGCAUCUGUGGUCAAGAUUAUUGAGCUUGAAGAUUGAAACAGCUUUUCGAGAUAAUUUUUUUCCCGCUAAUUUUUGAAGUGACCGUUGUUCCUGGUGCGUCACCACCAUGAGGAGUUGUGAUUGCGAUAUUUGAUCAUGAGAAUUGGAGUUGGAGUUGGAGGUGAGUCUCCACUGGUUUUGCUUACAGUGUUUUUUACAAUUCAAACUCCAAUGCAUUUUUUUGUAGAUCUCUAUCUAAAUCAUACUUUAGAACAGUAGAAGAUCUGAGCAUUGAAUUCUUAUCAUCUUUCAA